rnacentral:rRNA from 1 species
CUGCAGCUCAAGUGGUGGCCGCUAUUAUUGGGCCUAAAACGUCCGUAGCCUGUUUAGUAAAUGCUUGGGUAAAUCGUGUAGCUUAACUAUACGAAUACCGGGUAGACUGCUAGACUUGGGACCGGGAGAGGCUAGAGGUACUCCGGGGGUAGAGGUGAAAUUCUGUAAUCCUCGGGGGACCACCAGUGGCGAAGGCGUCUAGCUAGAACGGGUCUGACGGUGAGGGACGAAGCCCUGGGGCGCGAACCGGAUUAGAUACCCGAGUAGUCC